rnacentral:rRNA from 1 species
CACGUAGGGUGCGAGCGUUGUCCGGAAUUAUUGGGCGUAAAGAGCUCGUAGGCGGUGUGUCGCGUCGGCCGUGAAAACCUGCAGCUUAACUGUGGGCUUGCGGUCGAUACGGGCAUCACUGGAGUUCGGCAGGGGAGACUGGAAUUCCUGGUGUAGCGGUGAAAUGCGCAGAUAUCAGGAGGAACACCGGUGGCGAAGGCGGGUCUCUGGGCCUGACCUGACGCUGAGGAGCGAAAGCGUGGGGAGCGAACAGG